UACAGAGGGUGCAAGCGUUAAUCGGAAUUACUGGGCGUAAAGGGCUCGUAGGCGGCCAACUAAGUCGGAUGUGAAAUCCCCAGGCUUAACCUGGGAACUGCAUCCGAUACUGGAUGGCUUGAAUUCGGGAGAGGGAUGCAGAAUUCCAGGUGUAGCGGUGAAAUGCGUAGAUAUCUGGAGGAAUACCGGUGGCGAAGGCGGCAUCCUGGACCGACAUUGACGCUGAGGAGCGAAAGCUAGGGGAGCAACGGG
rnacentral:rRNA from 1 species